AGCAGCCGCGGUAAUUCCAGCUCCAAUAUCGUAUAUUAAAGUUGUUGCAGUUAAAAAGCUCGUAGUUGAAUUUCGAGACCGGUUUAUUGGUCGUGCUUUUGUACGUACUGGUAUUAUUGGUUUCUCCUUUCUGACGAAUCUUAAUGCCAUUAAUUUGGUGUUUUGGGGAAUCAGGACUGUUACUUUGAAAAAUUAGAGUGUUUAAAGCAGGCUCACGCUUGAAUACAUUAGCAUGGAAUAACGGAAUAGGACGUUUGAUUCUAUUUUGUUGGUUUCUAGGAUCGACGUAAUGAUUAAUAGGGAUAGUUGGGGGCAUUAGUAUUCAAUUGUCAGAGGUGAAAUUCUUGGAUUUAUUGAAGACUAACUACUGCGAAAGCAUUUGCCAAGGAUGUUUUCAUUAAUCAAGAACGAAGUUAGGGGAUCGAAGACGAUCAGAUACCGUCGUAGUCU
rnacentral:rRNA from 1 species